rfam:Clostridium sp. ASF356 genomic scaffold acMac-supercont1.1, whole genome shotgun sequence.
AAGCAUUUGUAUAACUGGCGGAAGUGGGUAAACCACAGGGAGUACAAAUGGAAAAGCCGACCGCCUGGGCAUCACAU